UUGUAAUCCAUCUCUAGUAUUUCUCUUUCAGCUUGUAGCUUUAAGGUGGAGUAUGUUAAUAUGUGACGACUAUUUUCGUAAGUGUGAUUGGCAGGAAAAAACUGACCAGUAAGGUGACCAUCAAGCUGAAAUGAACCCCAAGACUUUGUUUGAACUCUUUAUGGCUUUACCAGCUAACACUACUACUUCAAGCAAUUUAUAUACAGAUGCUGCUGGACUUCCUGAUUAACUCCCAAAAGCCUGUCCACCAUCUACAAG